UCGGUUUCUAUCUAUGCCGGCGUCUUCUUCAGUACGAAAGGACAAAGAAGACAGGACCAAUGCUAAAAGCACGUCCUACAUGGAAGCGUGCUGUACCAAACUAAAGCACAAACACACCCACACACCCAAACCAAAGAUAAUGGUUUU
rnacentral:rRNA from 1 species